UCUACUUCUUACAGAUGCCAAACUGAAGACCUGAGGGAGAAUUAUCUCAUACAAGAUCAAGCAGGAUGCCUGCUGCAGGAGCUGCGCCAGGGGAGGACCACCUCUGCUCAGAUGAGGCUGGGAGCUGGUGGAGAGGCACUGGGUGCCAGCUCUAGUCAUUGGGCAAAGCAGCAAGGUGGAAAGAUCUUCCUGAAGCUGGAAGUUUGAGCUUAGCCAUCACCCACUAAAGCCUCCUCUCCAUCAGAAGGACACCAGCGUCGGCCAGAUGAGAUGCUGCCUCCUCAUUGCCUAGCAAGUCCUCUCCCCUAUUGCCUACACAAAAGAAAAUAAGCAAAAGCAAUGAGUUUUUGUCUGGACAGAAAACUUUUGCCCUUCCCUGCAGGCAGAAGGGAAGUUUUACAUCAACUGCAGAAAAUCGGCAUCACCUUUCAGGUCCAAAGAUGCCUUUGAUGAAGCAAGGUGGAAUCAAAUGUCUGUGCAAAAGAAGAGCUCAAUGAUAUUGGAGAGAAAGUACCCAUUCACACUACAGAAAGGAUUUAAGUUCAGCCCAGGUCUUCUUCCAAGUCUCUAACAACACUGAUUUCCACUCAGGGAGAACAAAUAACGCUUUGGUCUUGUAAGAGGAGCCAUGGCUGCAUCUCUUUUUGAGUGACUUUGCCACAGAUUAGCCAGAGGGAGAGAGCUGAAGCUCAUGAUGGAAAUAGCUCUCAUCAAGAACAAGUGCUCCAGGGACGUAGGACAGUUAUUAGCUCUCUGUCAAUGUUCAGAGCAGGAGGAAUGUCUCUUUAAGAACCACACGUUCACUCAGAAGACACAUUUGCAGGGCCUCUCCCUAUUCUGUCUUCUCACUAACUGCUAAACUUGCUUUGAAAUGGUGAAGGAAUGAGCAGUUGGAGGUGCUUUAAAGGUAUGCAUGUGGAGGUAGCACACACAGAAGGUGUCAAAGGCUGAAAUGCAGCUCCUUUUGCAUGGAGCUCUGACCAAGGAAGGGAACAGCAACUGGAGGAUGGAGGGAUUGUGAAAUAUCCCAGCAGUGGGCAGGUACUCUCUUGACACCUCAGACGAUUUGUUUUGUAAAGGAAGUGAGUGUCUUCCUCAGACCAGCUGCUGCUGUGAUGGCAGAGCCUUGUUUGUGCAGCAGGGCUGCAGCAUCCCCUGAGCAGGAGCUCAGAUUUUGGCAGAGCUCACUCAGAGCCAGAUUCCACCCGCAGCAAUGGGAGCCAGGUGUGAUGGAAAGAAAUAGUUUUAGCAGAAUAGACUCCGUGCCACUGGGUUGGGGCAUGUGUGGAAUCUCACCGAGGGUCUUUCUGUAACACCACUAGGCAGGGAGGACCCACUCAUUUGUUCAUCACUGCAUUGAUUUGUUUGCUGGCUGAAGAUAAAUCAAAAGGAGACCUGAGCCCCACCUGGGGCUUUGGGUGCAGCUGAACACAUUCCCCAGCGCUGAUUUACAGCUGACCUUCAGCAUUUACUAUUUGUCAGCUCAAGGACUGUGACAUCAGGCUGCCAAAUUUAUGUUUAAUUAAUGAUGAAUCCUCCCCAUUUCUGGCCAGCUGAGAGGACAUGACUGUGCCCCAGGGACCAGGGUGCAGCGUCUCCUCGCCGAAUCUCUUAGAGCAGGAUCUGGAAGACAAGGUUGAAUUCCUUUGUGGCCUCCCAUCCCACAGCCAGCUGUGUCUGCAGAAGGUCUUCUCUUUGCGCUGACCCCAUAUCCUCAUCUCCUCUCAGCAGCAGGGCUUGGACAUCUAGGAAAUCCAUCUUUGCUAAAUUUCCAGGAUGACCAGCAGACAGCAAGGCAGACCUCUGAUUCCUGAUGAUGGAAAACAGAAGAAAUGUGGAAAUACGCUGUGGCAAGCCACAAAGUCUUUAAGAUCCCUUCAAACACUGUUACAAAAAGUAAUACAGGAGAAAUGCAGGUUCCUGAGCCUGUUGUGGUGGGAGCACUGGGACUGUGAGAGGAGGCGACCUGCGGCACGUCCCAUCGAUCCCCACACCAGGAGCACAGUGCAAAGGGAAUGUAAACCCCAACCUCCUUCCUGCCCUGGUAAUUCACCUUUUUUUCCCCCCUUCCUUUUUUUCUUAAAGGCUUUUCUGAGGGUCACACCCUUUCAUCUGUUUAUUUUUAACAUCUAACAUUUUCUGAACUUAAAUGUCAGCUCAGCUGUAGGCCCAGAUCUCAGUUCAUUCUGGUUCCAUAACCAUCCUUUAAUGCUUAAAGCACAUAUUUUGAAUUAGUUAAAUUAGAUUUUGCUCUCUUGUCAGUGACUGUCAGUCGUGAUGUUUUUGACUUUGCAGGUUCAAGAAGCAGCACAGUAAGCUGAUGUUGGAAGCAUGAAUUAGAUUUUUAAUAGAAAAAAAAUGUUGCUAGGAAGAUGAGGCUUAUAAAUGACUUUAGACAUGCGUCUGUAAUUACUACAUGCAUUUUUUUUCUUCUGUAUACAUAUGUAGGGAUUUAUAGGAAGCUGGUUGCUAUGGUAACUUCUUUACUGCAUGGUCCAUAUGUUACUUAAGAUAUUCUUUUUUCCUUAAUGGAAAAUUACACCCAUGGACACGGAUGGCAUUUGUAAAUCUUCUAGAAAAGCAACAAUUUCCCUUUUCUUCCUAAAUGUCAUCAGCUGUGCAAUGGGCGCCUUUGAAGUUUAAUUCUCCUCCUUGUCAGCUCACCAAACAGGAGACGUGCGCUGCAUCCAAACCUUCCUUCCUCUGCCUCAAAGUCUUCGCCUUGCUGGAGCCCACCUCUCCUUGCUGCCCUCAGCACCUGCCUAAACAUCCUGGCCAUUGACUUAUGAGCUUCCCUUUACUUCCCCACUACUCUAUAGCGUUCAAAUUACAACAGAGAAUAAGCUCAGCUCCAGGUGUGUGCACAGCUGGGAACACAGUGUUCUCUUGGCUGCUGCUCCAUGCUCUCAGGUUGGAAGGGGCAGAAAACCAGAGCCAUCCAUAGGCACAUCAGUACUUUUUGAUGUGGUUUGUUGGCUUUGAAUAUUCAAAGAGUUCUUUUAAGGUAGUGGCCUUUCUCUACUCAUCUACUGGGGCUGGAGAAAAGGAAAAGCAAACAAACAAGCCAACCCAACUCUUGCACUAUGGCAAACAUUUGUUUUGUCAGGUUCAGUCCAUUUUUGACAAGUCCAUUUAAACCGAGGGACUGGAAAUCCACAGUGGAAAGCUUGAGCAUUGCAGCUGAGGAGCAGUUCCCUGAGCUGAGACCCGUGCUGUACUGUUCCUCUUCAGCACACCUGCACUCAUACUGUACCUCAGCAUUUUCUUGCUGCCAUUGGCUAAGAAUACAUGCACGUCUGUAAAAUAUGGGUCUCAUUGAGGCUGGAUUGGGGUGGAUUUAACUCUGUGUAUCUGAAACUCACCAAAAACUCAGAUCCAUUAAAACGUAUUCUUAACCUUAUUUUUUCCAGCAGUUCUUAUUAAUGACUGCAGCUUGGAAGCUACUGCCUUUGUUAUAUCAAAAGAGACUGUGACUGUGGGCUUUUCAGAAACCUUUCUUGAGGUCUUCCACAGCUGCGCUUUCUGUUUUACAUUUGAAAGGUUUGACACCUUAGCAGUAUAAAGUUAUAGGUUUUAUCCCUAAAACUUCCCAAAUGCAGUUUCCAUUAUUAACACAGUUGCGACAGCUAUAGUUUGUUUAUAUUGCUUCACCUGGGGCACAUAAACUUAAAGGACUGAAAAUACCUCCAUGCAAUAAAAGAAUUUUAUAUAAUUGCAACCUCUUGCUGUAAGGGACAGCUGGCCUUUGAAAGUUGGGAACUCAUUUACGUCAUUGAAGUAAAAUGUAAGCCUGGGCUUUAAAUGGCUGUAAUUUAUGUUUCUGAAGCUCAAAACAAAAACAUGGCUGUCCAAAGGGCAAAUACCUUCCGAACACAUUAAUACUUACAAUUCAGCUGAGGACUGUGUGAGUCUACAGCUCCUUGACAGGAGGCUGUCGGUGGCUGUCCAGAAUUGCUGCAGUUUCUUUUGACGCUUAUUCUCUUAUUAUCUCUUGUUUGCUUGAAUUUCUAUGGGCAGUUUCCUAAUUCAACAGUUAUAACUGUUUCCUAAUCUGCAGCCCCUGCACAGUCAGUAGGGGUGAGUCCCAAAGGUGCCACAUCGUCGUCACAGGGAACUGGAGUUACUAAUGCCCACCAGGUCAGUGUGGCUGUGGGUCUGCAAGUCAUUGUCUCUCAUCACUGAAAAGAGUCAAUUCCUUGUUGCUAGAUGAAAACCAGUGUCUUGAGAGCAGGAUAACCAGAAAUCACCCUGCAGUUCUUCUGCUGAGCAUUUUUUGGUCCCUGUCUCUAAGCUUUUUGUCUGGACACCAUUUAUAUACUUUGGGUUAAGGGCCUAGUUCCAAACAGCUGUUGCUUGUUUAGUGUUUUUUGCUAAUUUUUUUAUUAUUAUUUUUUUUAAUUUAUAAGAUUGAAAAUCCCUCUGGAAUGGGCUGACACCAAAAAUGUUUGUUCUAGUCCUUGGAUGAAGGCACCCACCCAUGGUUCAAGCUUUUAUGAUUUGCAAAUUCACCAACACUUAUUAUGGCAUUGCAAAACAACAACAACAAAAAGAAACCCAACCGCAGCUCCUGCAGAGCAAAUUCCAGGCUCAGAGCAUUGCUUCAAGCUUGCCAGCCCAUCAUCACAGGGGAGCCUGCAUCGAUUCUGAAGGUGUAUUUGCAGAUCUUAGUUCUAGCUUGACCAUGGUCUGACUUGGCUCCUUCCAACAGCGCACGGUUUUGUCAUUUGCUUUAAAUACGGAUUCAGAUGUAUCUGUGAUUUAAGAAAAAUUGAUCUCCUUUUCAUAAAAUGAUGUUGCUGCCCUGCACAGCUCACUGGAGUAGAGCAAAUGGCAGAUUUUCGUAGUGCUGGAUCACGGAAGUGUGAAUAUUGAAAUUGGGUUUCUGGAUCAAGAGAACUGUGCAAAGUGAAUUCAAAUUUCCCUUGAGCCUUGCAUGGGUGAACUCCAUUUCCUUCCCUUAAGCCACCUCUUUGGGCAAACUCAGUUACAAGAGAACUGUGCAUAAGUUUGGUCGAAGCCCAUUGGGCAGAAAUGAUGGUGGCUGUUGAUGUCCCUCAUGACGGCGAGUAGGAAGAUAUGGGUGCACACGUGGAGAUCUCUUAGCAGUUUGCAUGCUGACCCUUGCUUAAGGAUUAAUUUUCCUUUGGAAUCGUAGUGGAAGUAUUAAGCAGGGAAUUUGGGAAAAACACAGAAGCGGCUUUAGCAAAUGUGCUCUGAGCCCUGCUCCUGGGUGAGGAGGGGAGCCUGAAAGCCAGCCCAGUCCUUCCCUUCCCGCACAGCUCUGGGAGGUGCUGUCAGGGCCUGGGAAUGUGCUCCUGCACAUUACAUCCUCCCCUAUGGGGGCACAAGGGAUACUGGGGUCCAUGCAGAAGGACAAGCCCCAGAGGUCAUUUACACCUAAAUCUGGAGGAACUGAGCUGCUUGCAGACGCUGCUACAGUAAGUAGUGAAUAGGGGUUGAGCAUCUGUGUUAGAAAUCCAAGCCUGAGAUGAUCCCAGAGGCACCAAGGACAGUUGUGGACCUGUUUUCCAGCUCCACCAUUGAGUUUGCCAGAGGAAAAAAGAGUCAAAGCUUCCAGCAAACACAGUGCUACAGAGCUGCUGCAACUGUGAACGAUUCCAUUCUUCCCGGAUGUUCAGAACUGAAUGCCAAUGGAGAAUAUAUUCCCUAAAACAAAUGGAAUGGCUAACUGGACCAGCAUGAACAGAAGGUCCAGCUGAUGGUUCAUGGCCCACCAUGAGUGUGUACAAGUGGAGGAGUGCUGGAACACAAAGCAUUUCCCUUUCUUCCUCCCUUUUCAAGGCCACAAGAUGGACAGAAGUAUAAUUUCUAAUUUUCUAAUGUUUCUAAGGACGCUGUAUAGGGGAGGUUUGCAGGCAGGGAGGAGCUUGUCCCUUCCUGGGGAUUAACUGAUGGAGGGGAUGCUGUGCUCGGACACUGCUCUCAGUGCAGUCCUGCCCUGUGUCACAGAACCUUCUGUACCUGCUCUGAAACAGCUGCAGAUGCUGAGAAUUUAAAGGCGAGUUCUUAUGAUCUAUGGUGGCUGAAAUGUCUAUAAACACCUUGAGUCUCUCCAGAGAUCUCUGUGCUUGCCAAACUCUGCAGCUUACUAGCAUGUCUCAUUAUAUGCUGUGCUUUCUGUAAAGUCCCCCUCCUGGAGCCCGUGAUUAUGUGAGCCCUGCAGAGAAGUCGGUUUAAAGACCUCAGUACAUCCUCAGUGCUAACAUAGAAAAGGUAGAUGAAGAAGCCCUAAUUUAAUUACAGAGUUGAAAGCCUUUAAUAGCAUUUGAGCCUACUUGUGUCUUUUCCUCCACCACUGGCAGUUAUCAAUAUUGAGAUCACAAAAUAUAUACAUAAUAUUUAAACAUAUUAGUAACCCAAGGCUAUAGAUUGCUCAGCUGAAAUCUGCUGAACAUCAAUCAGCAGAUUCAGUGUCUUAUGGCUGAAAUAAAUCUGAUCAGAAAACAAAACUAAAAAAAAUCAGUAAAACGAGCAGCAUGACUCACUCUAUCUUCCCUUGCUGAAGUAAGAUGCCUGCAGGACUCUCAUGUUGCUUUCAAGCAGAAAUGUAUAUGUUGCAGAGCUGAUUUGGGUGUGCGUAUCCUUUAAAAUGGAUCCAGGAUAUUAGAUGUCCUCUGUGAGUGUAUGUGUUAAGGGGAUGGACAGGGUACUUGAUCUAGAAGAGCUAUGAAGACAUCCAAGAGGCAGUGUUUUCUUGUGUUUUGAUUUAAACAGAAAUUUAAACAGAAAGUUUCAUUUCCUUUUUGAGGGAUGCUUUGGAUUUACACAACUGCAUGGUAUUGUCAGUCACAGGACAUGGUCUUUCACAGUUAGCAAGAGGAUGGAGAGGAGCAGAGAGGACCCUCUCAACCAGCAGCACAGCAGUCAGAGCCACCAUCUGACUGCCAUGAGUCUCCUGCAGGCUUUCCCCCCUAGGCUGAGGAAGGUUGUCCUAACCCAUAGGUACCAUAUCUGGAUAUGACUACGUCAGCGUUGUCCUUAGGAUCAGGAAUCUGGAAGCAAAUACCCCAAUCAUCUCCUCUUGCAGCGUGCUCCCCUUGGCUCGUGGUGCUGCAGCACAUGAACUGGAUGGCUUUUUGGCUUUUGGAGGAUGCUGCACGAGAUGAUGUGCUCCCGCUCACUCAAGUGCUUGGUCACUAAUGGUCAGUUGGUACUGGGACUGAUCCCCUCUGAAAACACACAGUGUGGACACCUGCUGCUCAGUAUUUGUUUGCUAAAGCUAAUGAAGAUGCGUGUGCUCUGCUCACAGAAGCACUCAGCCAGCUACAGAAAGCCCCCAGCUCGUGGCAUGUAGUUUUCUUUUCUGAAGAAGCGUAACUCCUGUCAAUACCAAACAAGAAGAGACACUGUUUAAAAUUGGUGUGCCUUUCCACUGUUUUUCUUCCCAUCCCCUCUCUCCUCCCUACAGGUGAAUUCUUUGUGCCUUCUUUGUUUCCUGGGAAAGAACACGACUUUAUGGCAGACAGGAAUGCUGACCCACUUGUCUUCUGCUGCGAGCAUCCGUCAAACCUGGCCUCUUUGUCCCCUGGAGCCUUAAUUUUCCUCUUGACAGCAAAGACAAAUGACCACCACAGGGCUGUUUGCUCAUGUCUACUCAAGGUUUCCAUAACAUUUCUUAAAGAUGACCUGUUUUUUAAACACACAUGGAGUUUUCUCUCUGCUGUCACCUUCCAGCAUGAAAGGUUUGUUUUAAGAAAGCCUUACAGUGCCAAUCCCCUGUCCACCUUCCCUCUCUUCUCUCUGCUUUAAGCUUCUUACAGUUCUUACGUGCUGUCAGCUGUAAUACUUUUCCUCCUUUUGGGGCUGUCUUGAAGAUACAGUGAUGUGUUGUUUGUGGUGGAACAAUAACAGAGUAAAAAUAAUUGGUUUUCUUGUUCUUCCGGAAGGGAAAAGUGAAUCCCAUUUCAUCCACCAGAGCAAGAGAUGUUUGAAGGUAGAACCAGAGUGUGCUUUUCUCUUGGGGGUGGAGGUGAGAUCCUGACACCUCCAUGAGUGCUUAGAUGGCUAAUCUGCAUCUCAUGAAUUACUUUCAGGUUUUUAAUAUAUUUUAAUUUCUGCAAAUAUUUCUGGAAUCAAAAGUAUAUGUCCCAAAGGCAACUUCUCUUCCAGUAAUGCCACAUGUGAGCAGAGUGAAGCAGUGGUCACCUAUCUGCAGGCUCCCACCCGCUCAGAGGCACCAUAUUCUCUGCAGAACAAUGUCUUAAAGCCACUUCUCUCCAUCCCCAUUGAAAAAUCUGACCUGACUGCCACUGCAGAGCUGAGAAGGCAGGCAGAAAACACAAGGAAAUAACUGGUUUUGUUAUUAAAAUCUGCAGUAUGGAGCAUGGGACAAGGCAAUUUCAAUUCCCUAAUUCUAUAAUUCCAGAGAGCUUUUCUUUGUAAAUGAAAUACAACUUUUUAAUAUAGUCUUUGGCAAAAACGUGCUUCCUUUUAUUUUCCUCCUUGUGGAAACUUAAGAAACCACUCUGUAACAUCACACACAGAGUAGCCUACUCCUAUGCUGGGAAACACCAACGGCUUUCAUUUGGGAGGACUACUGCCAGCCCUGGCUAUGAUUGAAGCCCCAUAAAAAUGAAGAGAUUCUCUUGCCAGAUUCAUCCUGGUGUUGAAAGACAGAAGAAAGCUGUUGCCACUUUCCAGUUUCCCUUGGCACGAGGAUUUUCCGAUGAGCCAGGACAUCCCAGGGAGGAAGGUCAGUGCUGGCUCACCUGCAUACUGGCUGUGCUCAGCACAGCCCUCCUGGCACUGCAUUCCCAAGCACUGCCGAGCAGCCAUGGGGUUGCACAAAGUCUCUUUGGGCUCUGGAAUAAGCUCCUUGUUCACAUGAAAACCAUACAAUCCAGGCACGGCACAAUACAAACCCUUCUUGGCUAUUGAAUGCCAUAAUUACAUAGUGCGUAGCUAUGAGUAAUUGUGUGUAUGGAAAAGAGCUCUCAAAUCCACCGCUGUGUGCUGCUGGUGUAAAUGGCUGAUUUAUACACAUAGCAUAAUUUAAACAACCCACGGGCCGUAAUGUGCCCCCACAUGUUUAGCUGAGUGUCCCCAAAUUUGUUUUGCACGUUUAUCCUUCCAUUUGUUCAGAACUUACAUGUUCUUUGACUUUACCACGUGCCUUCCAGCAUUAUUUCAUGGAAAUUCCAAUUUCCUGCCCUGAAAGAAAGCCUGAUGAUAAUGAGGAGCUUGAAGCUUUUCAAACAAAAAGGCAGUUUGAGUCAAUUCUGCAUUUUGCUUUUAAUCAAAACUAGUCGUAUGCAUUUGCAUCGACAACGAGCUCAGCCCACAAUACUCCAUAUGGGCUUGGCUGCUGGCAUUCAGGGGCAACUGAAAAAGCUCCCCAUUUCUCAAAGGUUUAAGGAUGACCUUGCAGAAGUGUCGUUUGUCAAGUGUCAGAUUUUCCAGAAUGGCUGGAUAAUAUCCCUGGAAACGUUCUGAGAAUCAAAGAGCCAAAUUCUGCCGUGGCCAGAGCAGCACAUCAACACUCACCUGCAAGGAGAGGGGGGGAAAUGGGGAACAGGAAGAUUUUAAUGGACCCUGAAAGAUUUUUUCAUGAUGCUUUAUCUAGAUAUUCAUCUUCCACUUUAGCUGUGCUUUAUUUUUUAGCCAUACUAUAUUGACUCUGUUUCAACUGAGCCUGUAAUACAUAAGAAAACAAGCUACGGUCCAUUAAUCCGGACACCUAUUUGUAAUUCUGGGGUGUCUACAACACGUGGAAACAGCCUUAAAACUUUUACUGCUCCCCAGUUCUGAGCUGAUCUCGCAGAACCCCCUUCACGCUAAUACCAAGAAGGUCGCACCCAGGAGGGGGUGUCCAUGAAUGGGCAGUUUUAGCACCAGGUCUCUAUUUUUGAGCAAAUUAAUAGCACCCAGAAGGGCUGCAGCACACAGACUGUGCAGGUCUGUUCUACAGAGCGUGAACAAUUAGGAGAAAAGGGGACGGCAAAUCACAUGAAAUGCCUGGAUGUGCUGCCGUGAGGGGUUGUACAAGUUUUGCUUGGGAAGGAUUUAUUUCCACUCAUUUUGGUCCUGUGGCUGUGAGAGGCUUGCAAAACCUUUCACCUUCUUUCCCUAGAGUCGUAUAUAUUUUAUGAGAAAUUUAAGAAUUACCUCUUAUUAAAAUGUGGAUAGUGUAAUUACCAAUAAAAAGCAGAUGUUGUGGCAUGACUAAUGCUUAAAAAUGUGUAUGUAACAAGCACGACAUAGCAGCACAUCCAGGCUUUUCAGUAAGAUAAUAAAAGUUGACUUUGUUGGAUCAAACUGGCCAAGUCACAGAGGUCUGAAGUUGGAGGGAAGUUGUUAUGGAAAACACUGGAAGGCUCCAAAAAAGAACAGCUUUCCUCCCACUGACCUCUAGAGCAAAGUUGGACUCCAGGAGGUACAAAUGCAAGGAGAAAUGACCCUCUUUGCCUUGCUCACAUCAGGAGGUGUCUGAAAGUUGUCCUGCUCCGAGCACCGUGACUUGCUAUGCUGAGAGCAUCCUUCCCCUAAAAGCUGUAAUGAGUGUAAUUAGUGAACUCCCCGACACCUCAGGCACCUCCCAGGGGGUCCAUAACCCACCUGCAGCAGUCAAGAUCAUUCCCUUGGACCCAUCCCAAGGAUUCUGGCAAGGGGAAUCUGGAACGAUCUGCUUGGGCUGACUUUUGAAAGAGGAAUGCUCAGACAUCAUGCAAAUUGGGUUGUACAGUGAGCUCCUCCAGCAGUUCCUGCUUCACAAACUUCGGCUGUGCUCACAGAUUCAUCUCUCUUUCUUCCUGGCUGGUUUGGAAAGAAGCGUUCCCAGCUCGGAAAGAGGGUCUGUUUUUCAGAGUGAGGGCACUCGUUUUGGAACGCAGGGAGGAUCUGUGCCUUGUAUGGGGUGGGUGCAAGGGGAGUGGGAGGUGGGGGGCACCCAGAGGUGCAGGGGUCUGGAACAUCCCUUCAGGGAGCUCUGGUGCUCUCCUCUGCCUUCUGCCAUCACAUCCCACAUCCUUCUUUGUCCUAAAGCCCAUGCCUUGCCCACAUGCUGGAAAUUCAGAACAGAAUCAUUAAGGUUGGAAAAGACCUCUAAGGCCCCAAGUCCAAACCCAACCCAUCCCACUGUACCCAGUGACCGUGUCCCAGGUGCCACAUCUCCACAGUUCUGAACACCCCCCCACCUCCCUGAGCAGACUGUGCCAGUGCAUCACCACCCUUUCUGAGAAUAAUUUUUCCUUAAUACCCAGCCCGAACCUCCACUGACACAACUUAAAGCUAUUCCCUCUCAUCCUCUCGCUGUUACCUGGGAGAAGAGACCUAAAUUUGAGCAUGCUGGAGGCAGCAGAGAUGCUCCAUCUUUUCCUUAAGACCCUGCCCUGUUCAGUCGUUCUCCCUGAAUUUCCUCUACAGAAAGAUGCUACCUUUCAACUAAAGACAAAGAAAUCCUUAGCCUGCUCUGGACAGGCAGCAGUGCUGGCUCCUGGAGGAAGCUGCCAGGCUGAGGGAUGAUCCCAUGGGCACGCACUGCAAAGGAUGCACCUGCGGGGAUGGGAGCUCGGGGGCUGCUCCUUUCCCCUUUGAUGGUUUUUCUGUUUGCUUGUACCAGUGUUAGCUCUGUCAUUUUGGGAAAUGGAACUAAGGCACAUGCGUAAGCAGCCCCUGACAGCAAUUAGUUCUGGCAGUAUUUUUGUGGUAAUGAAUUUCAAUGAAGCUGGGGUUUUCGGUGCCUGAACACUUCAUUAGCUGCUGCUAUAUCAUCCUGAUGCAGUUGAGAAAUCAUAUUAUAAUAAACAACAUUUUACUGCAGGCAGCAACAAGGAUAAUAAAUGGGAUGAAUAAUAAUUCAGGCUAUUCACAAUCAUCCCUACGCUUUAGAGUUCUGGAAUUUUUGGUAAAUAGAUUGAAUACUGUAUGAGGAUGAAUCUUACUCUGAAUUUCUCAGUGACUCAGUUAUUUAUGGGCUUUUUUAAUGUAUUCUUAGAGAAUGUGCUCCACUUUGUCACACUUGCCAGUUAAACACUGAAAUACAUGCACGCUGUUAUGGCAGUAAGGAAAGUUAUCUGUCAUUUAGCAGAAAGCAAUUGCAACCUGAAUGAAGGAAAGGAGAUGAUAACUAUUUCGAUGUGAGAUAUCAGGAAGUCUUUGUGUGUUUCUAUAUAUUUACAGGAUAUAGUAAGUACUUUUAUGUAAGUAUGGAAAUAUGUGGCUUUUGAAAACGCCUUGAAAGGCACAACUGAGGCAUUCCCUUCUUCCUUUUGCAUGUAUCAGCCAAAGAGAGCAGCAUUAUUCUGUCACAGAAAAAGGAAAUUAAUACUGAUCACUGCCUUUGCAGUGAUUAGUAUGCAAAUGGGAAAAAAAAUGCCUGAAUCUGAUGCUAUUUCUGUUGAAACGUAUCCUUCCAUGUGAGUCACGUUGGCUGCCCUGUGGCUCUGUGGGGCUGCAGAGGGCGGUGGAGGAGAGGGCCCUGAGGUGCUGGUUGGGGUCACUGAAGGGAUGGAGAGGGCUGUUUUCAUAGCCAGAGAGAACUGAAAACAAAAGCAGUUCAGUUUCUGAAGUCUCUAUUCGGCACGUUCCCUGGAUAAAGAUCAGACAUGUGUUGUCAUAAUACAAAUUUCCUCCCGGAUCAGACGUAUGAUUUCUGUGCUCUGUGCUGGUGAAGUCACCCUGACUCAUCGUUCUUGGAACCUGGAAAAAAAAAUGCUUGUUUCAUUUUCAAGAGAACAUGUGGAGAAAGCUCAGAAACACAAUGAGCUCUCAUCAGCCCCAUCCAUCCCUACCAGGUAAGGUAGGUAAGGACUGAUGGGUUUCACCAAGAGAUGUAAUCUUUGUGCCAAGCAAUGAAAUGCCCAUGCUGUCAUAAUUACUGGUGGUUUAAAAUGUGUGGGAGCUUUCAAGUGGAGUUUUUCCUCAUUUUUCCCUCUUAGAUGAGGGCUGCUCAUCUAAGAAUUUGAGCAGCAAGCAGUGUAAAUGUUAAAGGUUUCUAGAGUAAAUGAUGGCUUCUAAGCAUGUGCCGACUGGAUAAAACUGGGGGUCCUGUAGGAUACCUCCUAUCUUUUCUUUCUAGUUAUAGGUGAUAACCAUUUGACAAAACCAAAGCCAUGGAAAAAAGACCAGCAAUGGAAAGAACCAAUCUGCUUCUGAAAGAUGGGUUUUAUGAGUAUGACAAAUGCAGUAAAAUCAUAAAUCCAAAAUGAUCAUUUAUAAGGGGUUAUCUCAGUAAUUUAUUUUCUCUCUGAUAGGGAUAAAAACAACCAGGAGUAGGACAACAGUCCCACUUUGUGAUGCUGCCCUGGAACCCCAUCACCAAGGCAACAAAACGGAUGUGGGAUGAUGCUCUCCCCACAGGCUUUCUCUUCUUCAAUGCUUCUUGGAACAUUUAGGAGCACCACUGAUCUAUCAAGAUUUUCAGGAGACCAAUAAUCAGACUAAAUCAACCAUGGGAGUGCCAUGACUUUGGUUUGGAAUCUGUCAAGGAAACUCAUGCAGUCGCUAAAUUUAACCUCAAAUCAGAUCAAAUGAGGAGCAGUUUGUCCAGCCUCUCUUAUAUGGCUUAAAUGCAGAGGAAGAGAAGCCUGAAAGCAACUGGAAAAAUGAAGGAGAAGGUGAAUGUGCAGAGCUUGGUGGAGAUGCUGAGAAGACCACUCACCCAGCUCUGAGGGCAGAGAGGAAGCCGUGUUCUUCCAUGGCCAAUGUAGAGCCAACAUCCCAGCAGCUCCUAGGAGGCAGCACCUUGGGAAGCUGUCUGCCAACCUUCUCCCUCUCCACCACGCUGCCAAGCCUGGACUGGCCCUUUUCUUCCACUGGAUACGUCCCUUACUACAGAACAGAAGCAGAGCUCCACGUCGGCCCAGCAAUGUUUGACAGGUUUCUCACUAGGACAGAAAUUUCAGAGAACGAAGAGGGAAGAUGGGUAGAAGAAAAAAACACUUGGAAUUUUGGUGCCAGCUGCUUGGUGUCCUGAGAACAAAGCAGCAAGUUUGUCAGCAAAAGGCAGAAACUGAUUUAACAUAGACGUGAAUUAGAAGUUCUUGAAAGCCAUAGCCACGUGAACAUCUGUAUGAAUAUGGAAUAAAUAUACUUCUCCCUUUGAAUAAAACAGUAAGUGAGAAACUGGACUCUAAUGACAGAAGAAAGCAGCAGGGAAAUGUCUAAUGGGGAAAACUUGCUUUAGAAAACGUGAUGAAGGAGGAGGGUGAAGUUCAGAACUGUGUUUUUCUGUGGCUAACCCCACAGAGAACUUGCUCUCUCCCAGCCAAGAGUAGAGGAACUUCCAGUACCUCUUGGUCGGAGUGAAUCCCCCCAGUAACACAAAAUUGGCACAGAAUUCCCUGAUUCUCCUGAAGAACCCAUGUUCUGCCAUGCUGAUGGCAUAUGGAUACACAUUUUUUGCAGCUGCGUUCAAGACCAAGUGAGAGAGGUGACCACACAGAUAAAGAAGAGAAAAUUCCCAUGUUUACAAAGAUGAAAGACAGUAAAUCCACUCACAAAGUCAGCAAAUAAUCUGCAAAUUGAAAAUGUCCUCUUUGCCUUUUAUCCAUACCUGCUGCUCCCCCAGUAUGGACUGUACAGGGCCAGCGGUGAUCUCUUGUUCAUGGGAAUGUGUGACAGCUGUGAAACGACAGUGCCAAUGCAGAAGGGAUGUGCAGCCAUGGGAAACGGCCAGCGGGAAGAAAUAAGAAUUAUUUGAAUCUAAGCUGCUUGGAGGAAUUAAGUGGAGACAUAAUUUCCAGUAGGAAUUGGGAAAUACAUUUCCUCUCCUCUCCACUACAAUCCUUCCAUUGUAUUAAUGGCAUCUGUUAGACAACAGUCAUACACAAGAGAAAAAAAGCAUUUUUAUUUAAAAUCUUUGUCAGUAAAAUUUUUUGAACACA